AAUAAAACUACCAAAACAAUGCCACCAUAUAAACGAACGAAACGAAGCAACGUAACGAGGUAAACAUUGAAAGGAAUAGAAAAAUACAAAAGCAUGCCACAAACGGCAAUGCAACAGUGAAUUGUGAAUACAGUGACAAGUGAGGGGAAUUCGACAGGUCGAGCAACGAAGGACCUUUUUCUUGGUUUUUUGAUUUUCGUGUUGCAUGCUACAAAUUCAGUUGCUUGGGCUCUCGACAAUGCCUGGAAUAUCGCCCUUAAAUAACUUACUCUUCUAUAC